AGUAGAUUCAAGCUUAAUCCCUGCAAAAGUUGCGGGGACGUGACAUCACCCGGAUGCUGUGGCUCCGAAGCGUUCCGAUCAGGUGGUGCAGCAAUAUCGGAGAUAGUUUGAGAUAAGCCUCGGGUCUCAGGCGAAACUUUAGAGGAUAAGGGAUGAGUGGGUGGCUUCGGUCUUGCUCUUCCCCGACAAUGAAGGCGAAGAUAAACAUGUAGAAAGCAAAUUAAUUCCUCGUUUGGACGAGAGUUCGAAUCUCUCCAUCUCCACGG
rnacentral:tmRNA from 1 species